rnacentral:rRNA from 1 species
CUGGCAGUCAGAGGCGAUGAAGGGCGUACUAAUCUGCGAUAAGCGCCGGUAAGGUGAUAUGAACCGUUAUAACCGGCGAUACCCGAAUGGGGAAACCCAGUGUGACUCGUCACACUAUCAUUAACUGAAUCCAUAGGUUAAUGAGGCGAACCGGGGGAACUGAAACAUCUAAGUACCCCGAGGAAAAGAAAUCAACCGAGAUUCCCCCAGUAGCGGCGAGCGAACGGGGAGGAGCCCAGAGCCUGAAUCAGCAUGUGUGUUAGUGGAAGCGUCUGGAAAGGCGCGCGAUACAGGGUGACAGCCCCGUACACAAAAGCGCAUGUGCUGUGAGCUCGAUGAGUAGGGCGGGACACGUGGUAUCCUGUCUGAAUAUGGGGGGACCAUCCUCCAAGGCUAAAUACUCCUGACUGACCGAUAGUGAACCAGUACCGUGAGGGAAAGGCGAAAAGAACCCCGGCGAGGGGAGUGAAAAAGAACCUGAAACCGU